AUUCCUAGUGAUUAGAGUUUGAUCAUGGCUCAGGGCGAACGCUGGCGGCGUGGUAUAAGGCAUGCAAAUCGAGCGCAGGCUCAUCUGCGGGUUUUUGCUCGCAGGUGGGUGCUGAGCGGCGAACGGGCGAGUAACGCGUGCCUAACCCACCCUGAGGACGGGGAUAACCCUGGGAAACUGGGACUAAUACCAGAUACGCUCCCUCGUCGCAUGGCGGGGGAGGAAAGGUGCUCGUUCCGAAAGGGCGGGUGCCACCUCAGGAUGGGGGCGCGUCCCAUCAGGUAGUUGGUGGGGUAACGGCCCACCAAGCCUAUGACGGGUAGCCGGCCUGAGAGGGUGGCCGGCCGCACCGGGACUGAGACACGGCCCGGACCCCUACGGGGGGCAGCAGCCGAGGAUCUUGGGCAAUGCCCGAAAGGGUGACCCAGUGACGCCGCGUGGGGGAGGAAGCCCUUCGGGGUGUAAACCCCUGUUGGCGAGGGAAGAACCGUCCCCUCGGGGACGGUUGACGGUACCUCGCGAGAAAGCCCCGGCUAACUCCGUGCCACAGCCGCGGCAAAACGGAAGGGGGCGAGCGUUGCCCCGGAUUUACUGGGCUUAAAAGGGUCCGUAAGCNGGUUACUAAUUCCUCCGUGAAAACUUGCCCGCUCAACGGGUAAAGGGUCGUAAGGAUCUUGGGUAACUU
rnacentral:rRNA from 1 species